GGUGGUCUUGGUCGACAUCAAAACUGAUCAAACAUGAUCAGAGGGUAUGGUUUUCUCAAGCAAAAAUCAAGUUCGUUCUUGUCAAACCUCUUGGUCUUAUCCGAUUAAAUAUUUGUGUGUACCCACAAAUAGUUUGAUCUGAAAGUGUAUCAAGAUUCCAAGAGGAAUCCAAGUUUAAUUUUCAGUGUUCGUCGUCUCUCCAAUCGGAUCCGCAAUUUUGAUUCACCGCAAGUAUCGGUGAGUUGAACAUGAAUGAUGUAGAUGUCAAAACCUUUGUGUGCGAGAAUAAAAGAACUACCUAUAAGAGUAUGAAGUUUAGCCGCUUCAAGAAGCUUGGACUUGGCUUUGAUAUACUCUUUGAAGGAUAGGACACAGGCUAGUAAAAUAUUGUGUCAAGUAAGAACAUAUGAAUUUGUGAACUUAUGUGUAUAUUAUCUUCAUGUAUUCAUUUUGAAUAGAAAGGGUUCAAUCCAUAGCGACACCCUAAUAUUCGAAUAUUUGGAAUGUGUAAUAUACUAAUGU
rnacentral:lncRNA from 1 species